rnacentral:rRNA from 1 species
AGUGAACGCUGGCGGUAGGCCCAACACAUGCAAGUCGAACGGCAGCACAGUAAGAGCUUGCUCUUACGGGUGGCGAGUGGCGGACGGGUGAGGAAUACAUCGGAAUCUACUUUUUCGUGGGGGAUAACGUAGGGAAACUUACGCUAAUACCGCAUACGACCUACGGGUGGAAGCAGGGGAUCUUCGGACCUUGCGCGAUUGAAUGAGCCGAUGUCGGAUUAGCUAGUUGGCGGGGUAAAGGCCCACCAAGGCGACGAUCCGUAGCUGGUCUGAGAGGAUGAUCAGCCACACUGGAACUGAGACACGGUCCAGACUCCUACGGGAGGCAGCAGUGGGGAAUAUUGGACAAUGGGCGCAAGCCUGAUCCAGCCAUACCGCGUGGGUGAAGAAGGCCUUCGGGUUGUAAAGCCCUUUUGUUGGGAAAGAAAAGCAGCAGGUUAAUACCCCGCUGUUCUGACGGUACCCAAAGAAUAAGCACCGGCUAACUUCGUG